UGGUUCUGGCAUCGAUGAAGAACGCAGCGAAAUGCGAUAAGUAAUGUGAAUUGCAGAAUUCAGUGAAUCAUCGAAUCUUUGAACGCACAUUGCGCCCAUUAGUAUUCUAGUGGGCAUGCCUGUUCGAGCGUCAUUUCAACCCUUAAGCCUCUGUUGCUUAGCGUUGAGAGCCUACAGUUUUUAGAACUAUAGCUCUCUAAAGUUAGUGGCGGAGUCGGUUUACACACUCUAGACGUAGUAAAAAAAUUAUUCUAUCUCGUUUUAUAGUGAGUACCGGUCUCCUUUGCCGUAAAACCCCCCCUAAUUUAUAGAAGGUUGACCUCGGAUCAGGUAGGAAUACCCGCUGA
rnacentral:misc_RNA from 1 species